GAUGAAGAACGCAGCGAACUGCGAUAAGUAAUGUGAAUUGCAGAAUUCAGUGAAUCAUCGAGUCUUUGAACGCACAUUGCGCCCCCUGGCAUUCCGGGGGGCAUGCCUGUCCGAGCGUCAUUGCUGCCCUUCAAGCCCGGCUUGUGUGUUGGGUCGUCGUCCCCCCCGGGGGACGGGCCCGAAAGGCAGCGGCGGCAUCGCGUCCGGUCCUCGAGCGUAUGGGGCUUUGUCACCCGCUCGAUUAGGGCCGGCCGGGCGCCAGCCGGCGUCUCCAACCUUCUAUUUUACCAGGUUGACCUCGGAUCAGGUAGGGAUACCCGCUGAACUUAAGCAUAUCAAUAAGCGGAGGA
rnacentral:misc_RNA from 1 species